AAAUACUUAUUGUUUGAUUGAUAUCUAGAACCAGAUAAACAUUUGUGCUUUAUGUAGUUUUAUUAACAAGAAAAUUAUAUUCAUUUUAGUGAUUUAUGAAUUCAUAUGUCAGAUAUAAUCAUAUGUGAAUAAAGAUUUCCUUCCAAAGAUGAGAAUAGAAAGGUGUGAUUACUAUUUUUUCAAAAUGGAAUAAUAUUGUGCUUCUUUUUCAGCCUGUGCUGAUUCAAUUUAAUUAAGUGAACUAUCACUAAGCACUCAUUAAAUACAGGACAUUGUCUAGGUACUAGCAAUAAAAGAUGAAAAAUGGACACUGUCCUUGUCCUCAGAGAUCCUACAAUCUAAUUAGGGAAAUUGGAUGGGUACAAUAAAUCUAUCUGAAAACAGCUUCUUUACCUGAAUAUGAUUGGCUCUAGAAUAGAAUAAACAAAAAAUAGAGAAAUAGGGCCCACACAAACUGGAUCUAUUGAUGUAUAAGGAGGCUAUGUUCAGGGAGUAGAAAUUCUAGUAACUACCCCAAAUGAAGAUCCACCCUCCUCUAUAAACAUAGCACUUUGUUUCUUUAGUCAUUUUAGCUUAAUUUACUUUAUUUUUUAAAAUUAAAUUAUUUAGUCAAUUUAGAACUUUAUUCGCUUAAUUUACUUUAAGAAAACCCUAUUUCCACUUUUAAGCACUUCCCUUCUCCAUCUUGCCCCUGUGCUUGGCACUCCUUCCAAUUUUCUCUUUUGGGCUUUCUUUUCUGUGUUGUCUUCCCCCAUUAGAUUCUUAAGAUCCUUGAGGCCAUGUUGCCUGGCAUAUAGUAGGUGGUUAAUAAAUGUUUAUUGCUUGACUGACCUAAGAGAUUAUUUUGUACAACUUUCAUUUUGCAGAUGAGAAAAUUGAAGCCCACUGAGGUAACUGAUUUUCAGAAGUCAUAAAUAGUAUAGUCAGGAUUUGAACACAAGAUUCUCAAUACCAGUUUCAGUGCUCUUUCCACCAUGUUAUAGCUUUGAUGUCUUUUACUGAGAAUAUUAAACCAGACCAAAUGACAUUUCAACAUUCCUUUCAGUCCCGUGAUGCUAUAAUUACUUGGGAGAAAAUGACUUUAAUCAAAAAGUAUUUACUACUUACUUAAAGUAGACCAUGUGUCCAGCUCUAAGCUAGACUCUGCCAAGGAUGUAAAAGAAGUAAAAGGGUCUACUACUUCCCAUCCUAGUGGAUCUCCCAUUCUAGUCUAGGAGAUUAGGCUAAACAUAAAAUGCCUAGAGGACAAUAUAAAAAGCAAUACAGUUAAUCCGGGAAAUCCAUGAAUACCAACAUAGUCUAGAAAGUCUUAAUGGAGGAGGUUUUUUGAGCUAUGCCUUAAAAUUGGGAUUGGAUUUGGAGAGACAGAAGGGUAGGUAAUUUGGAACUAUGGGAGUUGGUGAUAAAGAUAUUAUUGGAAUAGUUGCAUAAUUCGUUCUUUCAGCAAAUAUUAUUGCAGUUCUCCUGUGUUCAAGGUCUUAUGUUAGGAGUCAUGGAAGAGACAAAGAUGAAUCUGAGAAUCAAGAGUCAACAUCUGAAAAGGUUUUGCAAACUUUAUGUUAGCUAUCAUCAUUAUUAUCAAUUCAGAGAUUCUUAACUUUUUUGUGUGUAAUAGACACCUUUGACAGUCUGGUAAAGCUUGUGGUCAUCGUCUCAGAAUAAUCACAUAAAACAAAAUAUAUUACAGAGGAAACCAAUUAUAAUGAAGUAAAACCAUAAAAAUAUUUAGAAAAAUAUAUUCAUAGACUCUGCAUUAAGAAUCUUUUCCCUAGUUAUGCAAUUUAAAUUCCUUUCCCAUUAUUUCCAUUAUUCUAGUUGUCUCUAGCUAUAAUUAUAGAAGAUAAUAUCCUUUUUUAAUUCCUGCUGUUAUGAUUUAUUCAGCAAAUAAUGAACUGUUAGUUAAAACAAAGGAGAACACUCUGUUCCCUAUAUUUUCCAUCUCAUUUCCCUUCAGUAUUCUUCCAGUUUACAUUUGCUAAGUAGCUUUUUGGCAGCCUUUGAUGCAAAGAUUUACAUAGCAUCUGCUUCAGCUUUCGAAGACAAAAUUUUAUGUAAUAUGAUUUUUAAAUGAUUUAUCAGCAGGAACCUUAAUUCAACUUCAAGAGUCAAAAAGAGUAACUGAGGGGUGCAAGGGGAAAUAUGCAUUUGUUCUAUAAUAAAGUAUCCAUUAAUCUAUUCAAUACUUGUCAGAUUUUAUUUUUAAAUUUCUUUUUUAAAAUUUCUUACUGCUUUGGUACUUAAAUGAAUCUGUGAUCUCACUGGUAUUAGUGUUUCCUGAACCAAUGCAGGCCAAAACUCUCCUAUGAUUUCCCAUUUAUGAUUCUUGCCCAUAUGUUCCCAUAUACUGUAUUUGUUGGAGAAGAUCCACUCACCAUGUACAUUCAAGAAGACUCUUUGAAUUGUCUACUUUAUAUCUUAAAUUUCUACUACGUGUUGUCCAGUCUACCUUCCUUUUCAACUGUAUUUAUAUUCCAUGAUUUCUCUUAUGUCACUCUUGUUAACAUUUGACAGCCUAAUUAUGUCCAUCAUACGUAUAGAUUGUUAAGUUAUUCAUGAUUUUAAUUCUUCUGAGUUCAUAGUAUUAUGAGAUAUGUAGCUAUCUGCCAUUAUUGGGAGACUAUUUUUUUCAAUACAUUUUAUUGCAUUAAAAAAUUUCUUUUCAAUGAACAAGCAUCUGACUUUCUCCUUGUCACCCCCAACCCUUACUGAAAAAUGAAAACUAAAAUCUUCCAACAAAUUAUUCAGUUGUCUUUCAGUUUUGUCUGACUCUUUGUGACCCCAUUUGGGGUUUUCUUGGCAAAUGUUGUAGAAUGUUUUGUCACUUUCUUCUACAGCCUGAUUUUACAAAUGAGGAAACUGAGGGAAAUGGGGUUAAAUGACUUGCCCAGGGUCACAGAGCUAGUAAGUAUCUGAGGCAGGAUUUGAACUCAGGAAGAUCAAUCUUCCCACCUCUAGGCUUGGCACUCUAUCCACCAUAUCGCCUAGCUCUCUCCAGUAAAUACACAUAGUGAAAACAAAUCCUUACAUUGAAUAUGUCCAAAAUGUGUAUCUCACUCUGAAUAUAUCUAGUUGAUCACCUUUCUUUCCAGAAGAUGAGCAGAAUUCUGAAUCAUUGGUCCUUAGGAAUAGUUCAUUAUUGUAUUGAUCAGAGUGUUUAAGUAUUUCAAAAUGAAUUGUUUUUACAAUAUUUUUCUUACAGUGUAAAUUGUUGUCCUGGUUCUUUUCAUUUCAUUCUGCAUCAGUUCAAAGUAUGGCUUAAAAUGCCUGAUCUUUUUCAUUCUUAUAACUUUCUGCUUGCCCCCUUCCUCCAGUUCUAUCUGACAAUGCCUCUCUCUAUUCCUCCCCCAUUUUUCUAUGGUAUUUCCUUUCCCCUCUCCCCUUCUUUUCUUCUUUUUCCUAUUGCUUGUUUAUAUUUUACCAUUUGAUUUUGUUGUUUUUAGAAAAUAGGAGAUAAACCUCACCUUUUUCUUUCUGUUUUUCAAUCUUUUGAUUUUCAAUAAUUUGAGAGCCUGUUACUCAAGGUUUUGUACCACUUGUGGAAAGUUAUUAAUUCUAUCCUCAAGUCUCUUUAUAGCUCUUUGAUUCUUUUCUAGUUUUUUCUUCUAUUGCUCUCUUUUAACUUAAAAUUUUAAAUUCAGUUUUUAGUUCUUGCAUGAUUUCUUCUAAGAUUUCUAAGUGAUCUAAUGGACAAGCUGUGUUUUUCUUGGAGGCUUUGCUUGUAGGGGUUUCAGAGUUAUUCUGCUCUAGAUUAGUAUCUUGGGUAUUCCUCUCUUCAUAAUGCUGUUUUAUCUUUUUAAAAAAGUCAUUCUUUCAGUUUUACUGGCCAAAUUGGGAGCUUUGGAGACUGAGUAUUGUGAUUGAGGAAAUAUGGGCACAGACAGAAUAAUGAUAUACAAAGCAAGGAGAGCUCAAGAACACAUGGAACCCAGAUCAUUGGGGGAGGUGAUAGAGAGAGAAUUCCAUGGAAGUUUGAAGAAGGGACAAUUGGACCCCCCAGCUGACUGGACUUGACUUCUGCUUGAAGGUGGUUUGAAGACAGACCACUUCAUCUUCUCUCUGGCCAUUACCUUUCUACUCCUAUUGUGAGCCCAGAAAAGACCCUGGCAGGGUUAUUGCCAUCUUCCCUCAGAGGAAGAUAUUUCAUUUCUUUUUUUUUUAAGAGACUUUCUUCACAGCCUUCAACAAUUGAUACAAUUUAGAAAUAGGGAAACCCUUUCCCUCCUUCUAAGUCUUCUCCUUAUAUCCUUCCCCCCAAGAGAAUAAAAAGAUCCUUUAACUAAAGAAAUUGGUCUGAAGGGUUUUGUUAUCAGAGGUAGGAGCUGAUUUACCAUCUGUGAGAAGUUCUGGAUUAAUUUACUUAGUGAGGAAGAACAGGAAGUAAAGGAGGGGCUAAGAAAUCAGCUUCCUUCCUUCAAUUACUUCCUGGAGUAACAUCUUUUGACUCCCCUUAUCAUCUUUCUCAAACUCCCCUCUCCAAUACAAUUCUAAUACGGUAUAUGAUUCUAGCCCUUCUGAGAGAUUCUUUACCCCAUUGUUGGCUUGUACUCCUGCAUAGCAACUGUGAUUACAAUCUAAUCUGGGUGACCCUGAGCUCUGGGCUCUUGGUGCUGAGUUCUUCUUGGUCUCUCUUAGAGACCCCAAACUGGAGUACUGGGCUGGGAGGAAAGUCCAAGCAUGAAAAUCAGGAAUUACAGAUAGAUCAACUGAAAUGAUGACCUUUAUUUCUCAAGUAACACAGACUAGAUGAAGAAGUUAUUGAAAAAGUCACAAUAAUAACACAGCAUUAAAUGGAAUACAAAAGUCGCUUAAGGCAAGAAGACCCAGAGCAAGCAAGACUGAAACAAAAAAGCAAAGGAGAUGCAGCAACAAGAACUUGUACUGAUGAGAGGGAUACAAACCUUACAGUGUUAGUGGCCAUUGGCCCCAGAAUAAAAGGAAGUUAGACCCACCUGGUUUUCUUUCUUUAAGAGGAGAGUCUCAAGAGAUGAAAUCUUCCAGGUGAAGACACACAAAAGACUCACCCCAGAGUACUUUGAAUCCAUGAAGAAAAGAACCCCUGCCUUUGUGGAUGAACAAAAUCAUGUAAUUAAGGAGAUGAAGAUAGCUAUAGAUCUAUUUGACUCAUAUUAUAAUGAUUUUGCCCUAUUAAUGAAAGAGCUAUUAACAAAAAGGGAAUGUAAUAAAUUCAUAGAGGAGACAAGAAAAGACCCUUUUUUAACAGCCUGGACAGAACAAUAUGACAUGGAUAUGAACAAUAAGGCUCAAUAUGAUGUAAUGAAGGAAAGUAGGCAAACAAUAAUUGAGGUCAUGGGUUGAUAUUUAAAAAGACCAAAUGCUUGGUCCAAAUUUGAAACUGUAAAACAAAAACUCCCUGAAUAGCCUACAUCAUUUCUAGCCUGAAUCACUGAGGCUGCUGAGACCUAUCUGAAUAUGCAUGUCCUUGAAGAAGGGAUGAUAUCACACAUAAAAAGGAUCUUUGUAAAAAAUGCCAUUCCAGGAUAAAAUUAUUUUUUAAAAACAAUUAUUCUGAUAGGAAAUGGAGCUGGAAGACAUUAGAUGAAAGGCAACAUACUUAACCACAGAUAAUGAAGAAAAAUAUGAGGAUAGAGACACGGUAGAGGAAAAUCUUAAAAGAAAAUUUAGGGAAGCAGAAAUUAAAGCUAAAUAAAGUGAGACAAAAGAGGUUAAGGCAGUGGCUACAUUAAGAUCAAUGAAACCUAAUAAUAAUUAUUAUUAUAAUCCAAGAGAUAGACAAUCAGGACCCUAACAUUGUUUCCUCUGCAAUAAGGUUGUCCAUUUUGUAAAAGAAUGUUGUUAUAGAGGCCAGUUUGCAAGGCAAAUGAACAGGUAUGUAGGAUUUGAUAGGAAUAAUAAUUGGAAUAAUAACUAGAAUAUUAACUAUAAUAAUAACAAAAAUGAAUAGAAUAAUAAAUACUCAAGGAAAAAUAAUGGAAAUGUGUGUCAAAAUUCCUGUUGCCAAGGAGCCCAAGCACCAGACCUCAACACUAUGCAAGACUGGGUAAAGUCCGGAGAAAGGUCUAAAUAUAGUCAGGUGGUUAAGGAUGAUCAGAGAAAAGGUGCAUGUUCCUUAUGAAGGUUUACCUAGUGUACUUCUGUAAUUAAAUCAAGGGAUAAUGAAUUGAGAAUAAAUGAAAGUGAGUAUAAUGGUAAUAAGAAUAAUGAAGAUGAAUUGAUUGAAUCAAAGGAUAUAAUUAGUGUUAACAAUUGUAACAAUUGUGUUAACAAAAAGAAAAUUUUAAUAUAAAAUUAGCAGAAAAUUCUAAUGAAUGUAAAAUAAGGGAAAAUAGUGGAGAAUGUAAAUUGGAUAAUCAUAAUGAGAUUGUAAAUGAGAACAAUGAUACCAAGAUGGAGAGUAUAAGGACCAAAGGGAGUAAUGAAAAAGCUGAUGAUGGAGUUAAAGAUGUAAAAUCCUGGGAAUAUCAUGUAGUUCAAGAAAAUGUAAACUUGGAUGGACACAAAAUGACUGGUCUUUGUUCUGAUGUUACUGUGCUAGCACCAGUAUUAGAAACAUUUCAACCUCCAAACAGUACAGAACCAUAUGUAUCUGUGACUCUAGGUGAUCAGAUAUAUGAUCUUUUGGUUGAUACUGGAGCUAGUAUAUCAGUUUUUCAAAGUCUUCCUAAGAAUUGUAGAGCUGUGGGCACAAUGAAAGUAAUAGGAGCUACUGAAAACCAGAGAGAGUAGCAAAAUUACAACCUAAAAUGAUUACUUUAAGUCCUUUAUCUGUGGAGCAUGCAUUUCUUUGUAUGCCAGAUUGUUCAUGAAUCUUCUAGGUAGGGAUUUAUUACAUAAAUCAUAGGCAACAAUCUAAUGCAGUGAUACUGAUGAUAUCUCAUUACAUCUACCAGAAGAAUCUCUGAAAGCUUUUCCAUUGCUGUUGUUAGAUUAAGUCAGUACAGAUGAUGACUUGGAUUCCAUCUAUCCUAUACCUGAGGAUAUCCCUGAAGAUUUAUGGUCAAAAUCUUCCACAUAUGUAGGCCUAUUGAAAUCAGCUACUCCUGUAAAGGUGAGGAUUAAGGAAGGACCAGUUGCUUGUAUACCUCAAUAUCCCUUAUGUAAAGAAGCAAUAAAGGGUAUCAGACCAAUCAUUGAAUCUUUAAUCCAACAAGGGAUCAAAAUACCUUGUUUCUCAGAAUAUAAUACACCUAUACUUCCAAUCAAAAAGCCAAAUCUAGAUAAAAAUGGCAAAGUAGUAUACAGAUUCAUACAGGAUUUAAGAAGCUGUAAAUAAUCAUGUGGUAAAGACAUAUCCUAUUGUACCAAGUCCCGCUGCUAUAAUUUCUUCCAUUCCAAGUCAGGCAAGAUAUUUCACCAUGGUAGAUUUGUGCUCAGAUUUUUCCUCAAUACUGAUUUAUGAGGAUUCUCAAAAGAUCUUUGCUUUUACAUGGGAAACUACCCGGUGGUCUUGGACUCAUCUUCCCCAGGGGCAUACUAAUUCACUGAGUCAAUUCUCACAAAUUUUAAAUAGAGAUCUAAAAACCAUAACAUUUAAGGAAAGUAAUAUAGUGCAUUUUGUUGAUGAUAUCCUCCUUGCAUCUCCAAGUGCUGAAGUGUGUCUCAGAGAUAGAAAGAUUCUUUUGACAAAAUUACAUAAAUGUGGGCAUAAAAUCUCCAAGGCAAAAUUACAGUGGAUUUUGCCUUGAGUGCAAUAGCUUGGAUUUGUAUUAUCAGAGGGUUCCAGAAGUAUCACACAGAAAAGACUAGCAGACAUCCAGAAUCUGAGUGCUCCUAAGACCAAAAAACAACUCAGACCUGUUCUUGGAACAACUGGUUUCUGUAGGCAAUAGAUACCUGGAUAUAGUGAAUUAACAAAGUAUUUAACAGACUUAAACAGUAAUACAGAACCAGAACCUCUGAAAUUAAAACCUGAACAUCUGUAAGCCUUAAGUAAGUUUAAAGAAACCAUUUUAUCUGUUCCUGCUUUGGGUAUCCCAGACUAUUCAAAACUAUUUCAACUAUUUGUUAAUGAAACUGAAGGUAUUGCUUCUGGUGUACUGAAACAGAUUUUAGGACAAAAUUAUUGUCCAAUUGGAUAUUAUAGUUGUCAGCUUGAUCCAAUAGUUGCUGGUACAGUUCCUUGUCUAAGGGGCAUAGCAGCUGUGGGCUAUGGUCCAGCUGUGGUCCAGAAGUCAGCAGAUUUACUUUUGGGAUGUCCAUUGACUGUAUAUUGUUCACAUCAAAUAGAAGCACUAAUGAGGAAAUUUUGUACUCAAGCAUAUUCAGACCAAUAAAUAUCUAAGUAUAUUAUAGGCUUAGGUAGUGAAAACAUCCAGUUGAGAAGGUGUAGUGUAUUAUAUACAGCUACACUUUUUCCUGAUUUGUCAAAGAAUGGUGAACUAUUACAUGAGUGUGGAGAAGUAGUAGAUCUAGUGGAUAUGCCUAUGAUGGAUUUAAAAGACACUCCUAUUGAAAAUCCAGACUUGGUAUUAUUCACUGAUGGUUCUUCAUAUUUGUGUAAUGGAAUUAGAUAUACAAGUGCUGCAGUUGUCACUGAAUUUUUUUUUCUAGGUAGCCAAUAACACUUUCCAUUUUAUUUUUUUAUUUUUUCUGAAAAUUUUAUUUAGUCAAUUUAGAACAUUAUUCCUUGGUUACAAGAAUCAUAUUCUUUCCCUCCUUCCCCUCCCCCCAACCCUUCCUGUAGCCAAUGCGCAAUUCCACUGGGUUUUACAUGUGUCCUUAAUCAGGACCUAUUUCCAUGUUGUUGAUGCUUGUACUAGGAUGAUCAUUUAGAAUCUAUAUUUCCAAUCAUAUCCCCCUCGACCCAUGUAAUCAAGCAGUUUUUUUCUUCAGUGUUUCUGCUCCCAUAAUUUUUCCUCUGGAUAUGGAUAGUGUACUUCCUCAUAGAUCCCUCCAAGUUGUUCAGGAUCACUGCAUUGCCACUAAUGGAGAAGCCCAUUACAAUCGAUUGUACCACAUUGUAUCCGUCUCUGUGUAUAAUGUACUCCUGGUUAUGUUCUUUUCACUCUGCAUCAGUUCUUGGAGGUUGUUCCAGUUCACAUGGAAUUCCUCCAGUUCAUUAUUCCUUUGAGCAUAAUAGUAUUUCAUCGCUAACAUAUACCACAAUUUGUUCAGCCAUUCCUCAAUUGAAGGGCAUUCCCUCAUUUUUCAAUUUUUUGCCACCACAAAGAGAGCAGCAUUGAAUAUUCUUGUACAGGUCUUUUUCCUUAUUAUCUCUUUGGGGCAUAAACCCAACAAUGCUAUGGCUGAAUCAAAGGGCAGACAGUCUUUAAGAAUCCUUUGAACAUAGCUCCAAAUUGCCCUCCAGAAUGGUUGGAUCAAUUCACAACUCAACCAGCAAUGCAUUCAUGCCUCAACUUUGACAUAUCCCCUCCAGCAUUCAUUACUUUCCUUUACUAUCAUGUUAGCCAAUCUGCUAGGUAUGAGGUGAUACCUCAGAGUUGUUUUGAUUUGCAUCUCUCUGAUUAUAAGAGAUUUAGAACACUUUUUUAUGUACUUAUUAAUCGUUUUUAUUUCUUUAUCUGAAAAUUUCCUAUUCAUUUCCCUUGCCCAUUUAUCAAUUAGAGAAUGACUUGAUUUUUUGUACAAUUGAUUUAGCUCUUUAUAAAUUUGAGUAAUUAGACCUUUGUCAGAAGAUUUUGUUAUGAAGAUUUUUUCCCCCAAUUUGCUGCUUCCCUUCUAAUUUUGGCUACAUUGGCUUUGUUGGUACAAAACCUUUUUAAUUUAAUAUAAUCAAAAUUAUUUAUUUUACAUUUUGUAAUUUUUUUCCAACUCUUUCUUGGUCUUAAAAUCUGUCCUUUCCCAAAGAACUGACAUGUAUACUAUUCUGUGUUCACCUAAUUUACUAAUAGUUUCCUUCUUUAUAUUCAAGUCAUUCAUCCAUUCUGAGUUUGUCUCGGUGUAGGGUGUGAGAUGUUAAUCCAAACCUAAUCUCUCCCAUACUGUCUUCUUCUUUCACUAUUUCCUUCUACACCAGUGUUUUGUUUUUAAUCAGUCCCCCUAAUUCCCAUCAUUAUUUUAAUUCCCUUUCUACCCCACUCCCUUCUUAUUCCCCUCUUGUUUUCUUUACAGUCUUUUUAAACUACCCCCCCACCCUCUCCCUCCCUUGUAUUGCUUCCCUCUCCACCAGUCCAUUUGUUACCCUUCUACUUCCCUAUAGGGCACAAAUCAAUUCUCUGCCCCAAUGUAUUUGAUUGUUCUUCCCUCUUCGAGUCAAUUUCAAUGCAUGUAAGAAUUGAGCAUUUCCUAUCUCCAACCUCUUUACCCUUCCAGUAUAUUGAUGUUCUCCCCACCCCCGGCCAUGCGCUUAUUUGUGACAUAUAAAUUUACUCCAUUU